AUUGAACGCUGGCGGAAUGCUUUACACAUGCAAGUCGAACGGCAGCACGGGGGCAUCCCUGGUGGCGAGUGGCGAACGGGUGAGUAAUACAUCGGAACGUGCCCGGUCGUGGGGGAUAACGUAGCGAAAGUUACGCUAAUACCGCAUACGAUCUGAGGAUGAAAGCGGGGGACCUUCGGGCCUCGCGCGAUCGGAGCGGCCGAUGUCAGAUUAGGUAGUUGGUGGGGUAAAGGCCUACCAAGCCGACGAUCUGUAGCUGGUCUGAGAGGACGACCAGCCACACUGGGACUGAGACACGGCCCAGACUCCUACGGGAGGCAGCAGUGGGGAAUUUUGGACAAUGGGCGCAAGCCUGAUCCAGCCAUUCCGCGUGCAGGACGAAGGCCUUCGGGUUGUAAACUGCUUUUGUAUGGAACGAAAAGGCUCUGGCUAAUACCUGGGGCUCAUGACGGUACCGUAAGAAUAAGCACCGGCUAACUACGUG
rnacentral:rRNA from 1 species